rnacentral:rRNA from 1 species
CACGUAGGCGGUGAAUCGGGUUGAAAGUGAAAGUCGCCAAAAACUGGCGGAAUGCUCUCGAAACCAAUUCACUUGAGUGAGACAGAGGAGAGUGGAAUUUCGUGUGUAGGGGUGAAAUCCGGAGAUCUACGAAGGAACGCCAAAAGCGAAGGCAGCUCUCUGGGUCCCUACCGACGCUGGAGUGCGAAAGCAUGGGGAGCGAACG